GAUUGUUCUUUCUCGACCGGUGCCUGUUGCUACAGGGUAAAAGGGAAUUGCGUGAAAAUCGCAAACUGUACCCGCAACUGUCAUUACUGGAACCGAUCAUCUCCUUCGACCGGUUCAAUUGCGUGAACGUGUAUCACUGCGUCAACCUUGUGUCCAUCCCGGACAGCGCGGGAAGGUAUUCGUUCAGAUUACUUCUAUCAGUAAGAGUCAGGAAACCUGCCGGUUGAUUAUUGCCUGA
rnacentral:ncRNA from 2 species